rnacentral:rRNA from 1 species
GCGAAUUCGCCCUUGGGGUGCACCAGGGGCGAAACCUCUGCAAUAGGCGAAAGCUUGACAGGGUUACUCUGAGUGACGUCCGUUAAGGACUUCUUUUGGCACCUCUAAAAAUGGUGCAGAAUAAGGGGUGGGCAAGUCUGGUGUCAGCCGCCGCGGUAAUACCAGCACCCCUAGUGGUCGGGACGAUUAUUGGGCCUAAAGCAUCCGUAACCGGUUCUGCAAGUCUUCCGUUAAAUCCACCUGCUCAACACAUGGGCCGUGUAGGAUACUACUAGGUUAGUAGGCAGUAGAGGAAAUCGGAACUCAUUGGGUAGGGGUAAAAUCCUCUGAUCCACUGAAGACCACCAGUGGCGAAGGCGGCUUGCCAGAACACGCUCGACGGUGAGGGAUGAAAGCUGGGGGAGCAAACCGGAUUAUAUACCCGGGUAGUCCCAGCUGUAAACGAUGCAGACUCGGUAGAUGGGU